AAACCUCGCACGGUGGGAACCAGACACCCCGAGCAGCUUCCUGAAAUCCUGUGGGCUUCUGACUAAGCCCUGGACACAUGUGCCAGCCGGGCUGUCCCUGGCCAAGAGGCCAGGCCUGCAGGGGGCCUCAGGGGGCAGCAGCUCCCUAUCCAGGCCUGGGUUCCGGGCCAAGCCGCGGAAUGUGAAAGGUCCCGUGCACGCUUGGAGAUGCCUGUCCUGAUGUUCACCAAGGUGAAGCUGGAGCAGGUGCUGAAAGGCCCAGAGGAAGCCCUCGUGACCUGCAGACAAAUGCUGAGGCUGUGGCAGACCCUGUACAGCUUCUCCCAGCUGGGAGGCCUAGAAAAGGAUGGCAGCUUCGGUGAGGGCCUCACCAUGAAGAAGCAGAGUGGCAUGCACCUGACUUUGCCUGAUGCCCAUGAUGCAGACUCUGGAUCCCGGCGGGCUUCGUCCAUCGCCGCCUCCCGGCUGGAGGAGGCCAUGUCAGAGCUGACUAUGCCCUCUUCGGUCCUGAAGCAGGGCCCCAUGCAGCUGUGGACCACGCUGGAACAGAUCUGGCUGCAGGCUGCUGAGCUGUUCAUGGAGCAGCAGCACCUCAAGGAAGCAGGUUUCUGCAUCCAGGAGGCGGCGGGCCUCUUCCCCACUUCUCACUCAGUACUCUAUAUGCGGGGCCGGCUGGCUGAGGUGAAGGGCAACCUGGAGGAGGCCAAGCAGCUGUACAAGGAGGCGCUCACGGUGAACCCAGAUGGCGUGCGC
rnacentral:sRNA from 1 species